GCCAGACUCCUACGGGAGGCAGCAGUGAGGAAUAUUGGUCAAUGGCCGAGAGGCUGAACCAGCCAAGUCGCGUGAGGGAUGACGGCCCUACGGGUUGUAAACCUCUUUUGUCGGGGAGCAAAGAGAGUCACGUGUGACUCAUUGAGAGUACCCGAAGAAAAAGCAUCGGCUAACUCCGUGCCAGCAGCCGCGGUAAUACGGAGGAUGCGAGCGUUAUCCGGAUUUAUUGGGUUUAAAGGGUGCGCAGGCGGCACGGCAAGUCGGCGGUCAAAUCGCGGGGCUCAACCUCGCUCCACCGUUGAAACUGGCGUUCUUGAGUGGGCGAGAAGUAUGCGGAAUGCGUGGUGUAGCGGUGAAAUGCAUAGAUAUCACGCAGAACUCCGAUUGCGAAGGCAGCAUACCGGCGCCCAACUGACGCUGAAGCACGAAAGCGUGGGUAUCGAACAGGAUUAGAUACCCGUGUAC
rnacentral:rRNA from 1 species